GGGCGGUUAGCUCAGCGGGAGAGCACUGCCUUCACACGGCAGGGGUCGCUGGUUCGAUCCCAGCACCGCCCACCA
rnacentral:tRNA from 11 species